UGACCUCAAAUCAGGUAGGACUACCCGCUGAACUUAAGCAUAUCAAUAAGCGGAGGAAAAGAAACUAACAAGGAUUCCCCUAGUAACUGCGAGUGAAGCGGGAAAAG
rnacentral:rRNA from 1 species